UUGGAGGUUCAACGAGUGCGGGCAAUGGCAAUUGAAAUUGCGAAAAUGCCGUUAAUAAAUAGGGCUGAAGGUGAAAGAGAAGGUUUGGAGUGGAAUCUGCACCUGCAAUUGUAUUUUUGAAAGAACAUGGAAUCAAACCUGUUGUGUACCAUGGUUGUCAAUCUAAAUAUUGGUGCUAAUCAGCAUACAGUUGCAAAUUUUGAACACCUUGGAGACAAGCCGACAACUCAGGUGGAAGUUUGGGUUAAUGUGACCAGUUGUGAGAAGCAGUUUUUGGAACUGCUUGAU